rnacentral:rRNA from 1 species
UACGAAGGGGGCUAGCGUUGCUCGGAAUGACUGGGCGUAAAGGGCGCGUAGGCGGAUGGUACAGUCAGAUGUGAAAUUCCUGGGCUUAACCUGGGGGCUGCAUUUGAUACGUGUUGUCUAGAGUGAGGAAGAGGGUCGUGGAAUUCCCAGUGUAGAGGUGAAAUUCGUAGAUAUUGGGAAGAACACCGGUGGCGAAGGCGGCGACCUGGUCCUUUACUGACGCUGAGGAACGAA